GAAACAGGGAACGAGAGAGGUGAAUGGAUUCGAAAACAAAGAGGAGGGGAACAAACAGAAGACAAACAUUGCUGUGGCAGAAUGAGUUCGCCAAUGUGUGCCGUGCAGAUUCAAACUAAAUUGGACUAAAUCAACCCUAACAGCUCAAGUGUCACUCGAGUACAGCGUGAGCCAAAUAUCCUAAGAUAUGCAUACACACCACUCCAUGGUCCAGAGAGUGAAAGACAUUAGCCCUCCUCUACCCUCACAUUACAGAGACCAGCCUCUCCUCUCAUACACGCACUCACCAGAUGUUGCCCAAAGCUUUAGGGAAGAACCCCCAGAGUCUGCUUCCUCUUUUGAAAUCCCAGUGGGGCAGCAGAUCAGGGAUCAGAGGGAGAAGCAGGUUCUUCAACCCAAAACAGGUGACUUCGACUUAGGCCUAACCAGGCUGAAAAGAGGGUAAAAAAACGAUUUCCCAAAUCCCUUGACACCAGCAUUUUUAUCUACUGGCAGUUCACACGAACCCCAUCUGCUUCUCAUAUCAACAUGCUUGCACUUGCCAGCACAGGGGUCUACUGGUCUGGCCUGCAGGGGUCAGGAGGACAAAGCCGAGUAAUGAAAUCAAACUGGCCAAAUGACAGAGUCUGCUGCUGAUCACUGGAAAUCGCUGAAGGUUUUCAUUAUGGAGUAUUAUGAUGGCGGGAAUGCAAAAGGGGGAUAUUAAAGACUCGGUAUAGCUCUUACAGUGUGAGUAAUGAUCGGACAGAGAGCAGCCAAAGACAGCUUUACUGUUCCCUCGGGCCUCAAAGUGUUAAGGGCACAAGCUGAUACAGCAGAGGACCCACUAGGUUACAUGCUGCGUUGUGUAUCAUGCAAGGAUGAAACCUAUUGUGUUUUGAUGGCUUUACAUUACCUCUGUGGGUACAUCCACUGGAUUUAUGUCUGUGAUGUCGGUUUUGUAGAGAUGACGUUACUGUACACGAGAAUAUUCGGUCCAUACUUUUACACCAAUCACAUUAAAUAUAGCUACAGAAUGAACAUUUACAGUCUAUAAAAGCUAACGUUUCUCCACAGUAUAUAGUAUCAAAGUAUAUAGUCCUGAACGGUAUUUCUAAACCUGGAGAGGACCAUAUUCUUCCUGCACUAUGUAACCCUGUUAGUCCCAGUGAAAGGCCAGUGUCCCAUCCACGGUUUAAGUGAGGCUUGCACACAAACGGAUUGGUCUAUCUCACUGUCAAUCAACAUGUCGAUGAAGCAAGUAAAAUGAUCUCUCAUGUUUGCAUUUAACUCCCCCUUGUGUAUUAUUAUUAUAACAGACAUGUGAGCAUCAAAGUUUGGUUGUUGUCAAUAGUUGCCUCUGUUAUUUAUUGGUUAUUCACAUGCUAGGAGACCCCUAUAAAGUCAGGAAGAUCAGUGACAUGGUUCGAUUUGAGUAAAAACCUGAAAAGUUAUUUUGUUAGUUUGUCUUUAUGAGGCUGCUGUAAG